rnacentral:lncRNA from 1 species
UUUGAUUUUUGCAACUGCUUUAUAAAAGAUGUGUGUAUGCAGAACUUUUAUGCACACAUUCUACAAUUUUUGACAAAUUAUCACUUUGAAUAGCUUUUGUUCCUGAAAAGUAAAACAUUCAACCCAUGAGCGCAAUAUCACACCCUGGCCCUGCAUAUGAAAAGAAUAUAAAUAUUAUUUCCUCCGUAUUAAGUGACACAGUUAUCUGUAACAUACAUACCAUUUGUAUAAUUUUCAUCUUUAAUAAUUUUAUUAUCUACUAGUAAAAAUUACUAUAUUUUAAAAAUAUUCGUCGAGACAAAUAUAACAUUUAUAUAAUAUUAUUUAUCAUUAUAUAUUAGUAGAAAAAUACAGUCAAAAUAUAUUAUGUAAAUAAUAUAAAUAACUAAAUUAGAUCCCCUAAAAAAAACUAAAUUAGAUCACUUUUUUUUUGUUUUGAGGGAAACUAAAUUAGAUCACUUAAUAUGGGAGGAGGGAGUAUGAUAUAUCAACCCUGCAAAAAAAAAAAGGCAAAUCUAUUCGUAAAUUGAUUCAAGUGGUCAGGGGUGUAAAAAAUUUAAGCAAAUUAAAGGACCAACUCUAUUGAUACAUCACUCAUUUAAUUUUUUAAUGGAAAAUAUUAACUAACCGAUGUUUCUGGUGCACUAAUUAAGAAAGCAAAUAUACUCUCUCUGGUCACUAAUAUAAGCAAAAGUUGAUUUUUUAGGUUCAUUCAAUAAAUGAUGCAUGUAGUCUAUAUAUAGACCACAUAUAUCAUUUAUUUAAUGAACUUAAAAAGUGUUUUUUUGCUUAUAAUAGUGACCAGAGGAAUUAGUAAUCGAAUUUGAAGUUGUGCAGUCAACUCAUCAAAAGUCUAAAAGUGUUAUUUUUAAAUUAAAACUUUCUUAUUUUGGCUUCCUUAACUAGUACUCUGAAGUAUUGGUUAGCAGGACCCUUUUUUAAUAGUAAUAUCUAAUAAACACUCAAUUCCUCCAACUCAACACAUCACACAAAUUUCUUAAAUGAGACACAUUGAUAACUUUAUAUCAUCAAAUUUCAAUAUUAAAACUUAAAACCCGAAGAGAGAGCGCUUAUGUGAGCCACUCAUCUCAAUAGGUACCAUUUUAGAUUUAUCCUUUAUGGGGCUACCUAUGAGUAGGGGUGGCAAUGAACCGAACCAAUUCGAUUAGUGUUCGUAAUUCGAUUCGAUAAUUGAUUCGUCGAACUUGGUUCAUGAACCAAAUGAGCCGAACUUGAGCUGAAAAUUAAGUUCGCUAACUAAUUGAGCUGAACUUGAACCAUAUAUAGGUCGACUCGUUUGGUUCAUGAGAUGACUCGAUUAUAAAUAUAUAAUUGAUUUUACACAAUUAGAUAAUUAAUUAUAUAUAUAAUACUUUAAAAACUAAGACAAGCACUUAACAAUAAUAGGAUAAAAAUGAGCUACAUUAAAAUUAAUAGACAACACUAUGCACAGUGUUGUUGUAGUAUUUAAGGAUUUCAAAACUAAGAUAGUCCCGCUGCGGAACAUGCAUGAAAAAUGGAGGAUACGAUUAUCUGUAAUAAGAUAAACACAUGACACAAGAAGGCAAAACUGGAUUUGGUGGUUGCAUACCUAAGUUAAUUACUAACUGUAAUAAUAGCCUCAUCGAGUCCAUUAAAAAUUGGUAUAAAUUCCAAUAUAUUUAUGUGUCAAAAAUUUAAAUUUUUUGACUUUUUGGUUUCGUGUUCAAGUGGCUUUACUCGUUUUCAUACUGAAAGUUAUGCGCUUUGAACAAACGAAUUGAACCUAAUGAGCCGAACCAAACUGUUCGUGAACUUUAAGCGAGCCGAACUUGAGCUAAAAAAAAAGCUCGUGUCAAACUCGAACCGAGGUUCAAACCAAGCUAAUUCUUAACGAGUCAAGUUGAGCUUAAACAGGUUCGAUUCGACUCGACUCAUUUCCAGCCUACCUAUGAGGCACACAUGCUUACAGAGAUAAGCCACCCCCAUUGUGGAUGGUCUUAACUCUUAAUGGUUAGUGAUUUGAUAUUUGGCUCAUCCAUGUGGAGAAAAUUGAAUUGGCAAAGAAACAUUACUUCUUUUUUAAAAAAAAGGUAAAAUGUUUUUUAUUAAAGAAGACAAAUUUGUCCACCAAAAUUGGCAUUGUGGAGAAUCAAACGUGAGAGCUGAGACCUUAAUUAGAACACACUCUAAGGUCUCAAACCAACACGAUCAAGCCAACUCAAGUGAAUUCCAAAAUCAAAUAUAUUAAUGCCAACGAAGAAUUUUAACCAACACAGAGUGCAAGGAGAGGAUUCAAAGAGUAACAACAAAGUACAAGAACCAAAAUAACGACAAAAAAGAAAUACAAGCUAGGUGACAAAACCCGAAUGUAAUAGGACUAAACCAACAAAAAUGUAAAUCAAAAGCUAAAUUCUCCGAUUUUGCUUUCAAAUUUCAAAAAGCUAAGAGCUUCACUCCGUCAAUUAAAAGGUGCAUCAAAGACUCAUUUUGUUGAAAAACGUACAUGUUUUUUAUUUAAAAUAAAUCAAACGUAAGUCAUUUAAAUUAAUUGAAUAGAAGACUAAAACCUUUUACAUAAUCCUUCUAAGUUACCAAUUUGAAUAAGACGAUCAGAAAGAUGCAUCAGAUUAGUUGAAUGAAUGUCUAACCAUUUCCGAAUAAUCAACCAAAUACUUCAAAAAUAAAAGAUCAUCGACGUUUUCCACCCUUACAAAUAUUAGAAUUAGAGAAAAUAACUUCUCGCGAAAGCAAAUUAUCUUAUGUAACGACCAUCAAACAACUUUCUCAAAGAGACUGCUUUGUGUGCCAUAUAGAUUUCUUAGAAAGAUUACUCAUUGCAAAAUGACAGUGAAACUUAGAACCUGUAACACGAGAAUCAAGAUAAAUUCAUGAUGGUCUUGGACUCGACUAACAUGAGUUAUAUCCAGCUUGACUUUGCACUGUUGUUGACAACUAAAAUUACGGUAAAAAGCAAUCAUGAUAAAGUGUUAUGAGUGCAAAUUCAACGUUGCAAAUUUGUUUUUUUG